rnacentral:ribozyme from 11 species
CACACUGAAACUGGAAAGGAAGGACAAGAGAAGAGAAAUGUGAGGGUGGAGGGAGGACGACAGAUCGACUCUAUUUACCUUUCUGUUCUUGUUUCUUCGCCCCCCCUCGUCUUCAAUAAAUGCCUUUUUUUUUUUUUUUCUUUUCUUCA